CCUACGGGUGGCAGCAGUGGGGGAUAUUGCACAAUGGGGGAAACCCUGAUGCAGCGACGCCGCGUGGGCGAAGAAGUAUUUCGGUAUGUAAAGCCCUAUCAGCAGGGUAGAAGAACUGACGGUACCUGAGUAAGAAGCACCGGCUAAAUACGUGCCAGCAGCUGCGGUCAUACGUAUGGUGCAAGCGUUAUCCGGAUUUACUGGGUGUACAGGGAGCGCAGGCGGCACGGGAAGCCUGAUGUGAAAGCCGGCGGCCCAACCGCGGGACUGCAGUGGGAACUAGCGGGCUGGAGUGCCGGAGAGGUAGGCGGAGUUCGUGGUGUAGCGGUGAAAUGCGUAGAUAUUAGGAGGAACACCAGUGGCGAAGGCGGCCUGCUGGACGGUGACUGACGCUGAGGCUCGAAGGCGUGGGGAGCAAACAGGAUUAGAUACCCGUGUAGUC
rnacentral:rRNA from 1 species